rnacentral:rRNA from 1 species
AACGAACGCUGGCGGCAGGCCUAACACAUGCAAGUCGAACGCUCUAGCAAUAGAGAGUGGCAGACGGGUGAGUAACGCGUGGGAACCUUCCCAGUGGUGCGGAAUAGCUCAGGGAAACUUGGGGUAAUACCGCAUGAGCCCGAAAGGGGAAAGAUUUAUCGCCAUUGGAUGGGCCCGCGUAGGAUUAGCUAGUUGGUGAGGUAAUGGCUCACCAAGGCAACGAUCCUUAGCUGGUUUGAGAGAAUGACCAGCCACACUGGGACUGAGACACGGCCCAGACUCCUACGGGAGGCAGCAGUGGGGAAUAUUGGACAAUGGGCGCAAGCCUGAUCCAGCCAUGCCGCGUGAGUGACGAAGGCCUUAGGGUUGUAAAGCUCUUUUGGCGGGGACGAUAAUGACGGUACCCGCAGAAUAAGCCCCGGCUAACUUCGUGCCAGCAGCCGCGGUAAAAGUUCGUCG